GAGGACUGAGGAAGUGUGAGCCAAGUAAGAGGAAGAGAGAGGCGACGUGGGUCAGUGUCAGAGGAGACUGGAGAAGCUGAGAAGUGAAGGGAAGGCCGACAUGUUGGGGGUGCAGCAAGGCCCACAGAGCAGGAACCAAGCCAAGGGCAGCCUGGCUUUCAUGGAAACUGCCUGUGGGGCCAAGGGAACAGGAAGAACUGGUGCAGAGGAAGAGGGUCAAGCUCCACCUACAGGAGAUACUGCCCUCACCAGGAAGAGAAGAAAGACUAAACUCUGAGCCUUGGGCACUUCCAGUCUGCCUUCCAGGGACAGUGUUUUCUUCUUAAACCGGGGUAAGACUUCUAGAAAUGGCUUCCUCUCUGACAAAGGUUUCUACCUGGACACCUGCAGGAGACAUGUCACUCCCCAACGCAAGACAGAGAAAUGUCACUGGGGCAAAAUCACAGCUAUGAACCUCCGAGGAAAAAAAGAGAGAGAAGAUCUGAAGGCAUCUGCAGUAGCCAAGGGUGGGACAAUUGAAGCAGAGAGAGCCUACCUGAAAGCAAGAUGAUCUUUCUAUGCCUUGUGCUCACAAAAUAAGCAAUGGCCCAAUUCCUUCUAUACUCCCUAAAUCAGCUUCUGAGACUCAAACAGCUAGACAUGGGCCUGACUGAUCCUCCAGAGAGCAGGAAUGGGAGUCAUCUGGGAAGAGAGCCCACUGCAGAGCAAAUGGCGGCUCAUAGUCCCUCUAAGUUCCACUGGGUGAGAGGACCCAAGGAAUCCAUCCACUCAUGGACCUAACUCAGGCCCAGAUGAAUGCCGUGAGAACCCAGCACACACCACGCCUCAUGCCCACGCACUCUGCUUUCAGUCUCACAGUACCCACGAGAUCUGGUACUCUGGGACUUCUGGCUCUGGUCCAAAGUCAAAAUGACCAUGGAAGGGGAGCCGUCCUAGGGGUGCUUGCAUUCUAGUUUAAGAAGACAGAUGAACACGCAAACACAUUCGAUGUCAGGUGUCAGUAAGUGCUAAGUAAGGAGAAAAGACUGACCGGGACAUGGAGGACAGAGAGCACUUGGGGCGGGGAAAGGUCUUGCUCUCGAUAUGGGAGGUCAGAGAAACCACACUGAAAGAGGAGGUGCUCAAGAGAAGAUAUGAGGAAGUGAGGAAUUCAGCACUGUGGGAAGAGGGACAGCAAGGGCAGAGAUGCUGAAGUCCUUGGGGGAGUUUGGGGAGUCCAUGAGGAGGCCAGAGUGGCAGGAGCUAUGGUCAACGGUGAUGGAUUGGUGAGGCUAGAGUGAGAGAGCCAAUUGAGGGGGGACUGGGCCAGCACUGGGGGUGGGGCAUAGAUAGCACCUCCACUUGCAACAACUUGUGAACUGGAAAGUUCCCGGAGGCUGUCGGCAGAGAGAUGGUGAGCUCUGACAGGAUCCCUCUGACUGCUGCAUGGACUGGGUGUAGGAAGUAAGCUGAGUGGCAGGAAAGCCAUCUGGCAGCUCUGCAGAGAACUACGUGCAAGUUGGUGGAGAGAGGGGAUGUGAUGAGGAGUGUGAUUUUGGAGCUAUUCAGAAAGCGAAACCAACAGAGUCUGCCAAUGGCCUGGAUGUGGGGUGUAAGGAAAAAAGAGGCCAAGAUGACUUCAAGGUUCCGGUCUGAGAAACCAGAAGAAGGGGAUCACUGCUACUGAGAAGGAGAAAAUGACAAAAGGGGGAGCAUCAGACAAUAGAGAGGGAAGUGGGACAAGAAACAGUGAAGUAGAAAGUAGGUGAAUAAAUGGACUAGAAAAACGAAGCCCAAUAGUCCACUGGAACUUGAAGGCUAAUUUCAUGUUGGUGGCCGUGAGUUUUAAAGUGCCCAUUAGGGGUGUUGUUUGUUUGUUUAUUCUCUGAUCAUUUUAAGUUACAGUUGCAUAAGUCUGGAGUAGACAGAGGGUUGGAUUUGACCAAGUUGGGGAUUUGUUCGCUAGUGCAAUGAAGAACCAGGGACAGGUGAGAGAAUGAAUUUACGCAGAGAAGAGAUGCUUAUGAAGAACAAUAAUGUUUACAGAAGGGGGAACAUUAAUCUGGUAUGUCAACUUCCUUGGACUAAAAAAGGCUUUUAGCUGAUUAGUAAGCAUGUUCUGUGGUGUGUCUGGGUGGGACUUGGAGGCAUGGUCUUGGGUACUGUUUGGUCUCUUUCCCACUCCUCUCUGGUACUGUUUCCCUGCCCUGCUUCCUUACUACCUUGAACUAAGCAGCUUUGUUCCAGUGUUCCAGUCUUUCACCUUAACAUCCCUUGGAGCCAGCCCAUCAUGGACUGAACCCCUCAAAAUCAUGAGCCAAAGUAACCCUCUCAUCAAGUCGUGGAUGUCAGUGUGUCUCAGCCACAAGGACACUGACUCAUGCAGGAGAUCGCCCCAAUUCAGAGAACUUCAGCCGCACCAACCAACUCCAGCUCAGAGGCUUCAGAACACAGUGGAUUUUCCAGGCAUGAGAAGAAUGGAAUAAAUAUAGGCAAAUCAGAAACACAGCUCCUGAUCUGCACCUCACCCACCAAGACACCUGCACAAUGCUCUGAGCUAUUCUUAGACUGACAUGCCACCUCUGGAUUGUCACCCAACCAGCAUUCAUUGUAAUCCAAAGAAAGAGAGGCCUGGAAACAUAUAAUGGAAAUGAAUAAGCACCUCCCAACUUCCAGACUCCGAGACAGGAAGAAAGCAUCCUUGGUGGAUGGGUGGCCUGGAGGUCUCCUAAGAAGAAAACUGGGG